GUAGGUGGCAAGCGUUGUCCGGAAUUAUUGGGGCGUAAAGCGCGCGCAGGCGGUUCUUUAAGUCUGAUGUGAAAGCCCACGGGCUCAACCGUGGAGGGUCAUUGGAAACUGGAGAACUUGAGUACAGAAGAGGAAAGCGGAAUUCCACGUGUAGCGGUGAAAUGCGUAGAGAUGUGGAGGAACACCAGUGGCGAAGGCGGCUUUCUGGUCUGUAACUGACGCUGAGGCGCGAAAGCGUGGGGAGCAAACAGGAUUAGAUACCCUGGUAGUCCACGCCGUAAACGAUGAGUGCUAAGUGUUAGGGGGUUUCCGCCCCUUAGUGCUGCAGCUAACGCAUCAAGCACUCCGCCUGGGGAGUACGGCCGCAAAGGCUG
rnacentral:rRNA from 1 species